GGGACACGUGGUAUCCUGUCUGAAUAUGGGGGGACCAUCCUCCAAGGCUAAAUACUCCUGACUGACCGAUAGUGAACCAGUACCGUGAGGGAAAGGCGAAAAGAACCCCGGCGAGGGGAGUGAAAAAGAACCUGAAACCGUGUACGUACAAGCAGUGGGAGCACAGGUUUACCUGUGUGACUGCGUACCUUUUGUAUAAUGGGUCAGCGACUUAUAUUCUGUAGCAAGGUUAACCGUAUAGGGGAGCCGUAGGGAAACCGAGUCUUAACCGGGCGUUAAGUUGCAGGGUAUAGACCCGAAACCCGGUGAUCUAGCCAUGGGCAGGUUGAAGGUUGGGUAACACUAACUGGAGGACCGAACCGACUAAUGUUGAAAAAUUAGCGGAUGACCUGUGGCUGGGGGUGAAAGGCCAAUCAAACCGGGAGAUAGCUGGUUCUCCCCGAAAGCUAUUUAGGUAGCGCCUCGUGAAUUCAUCUCCGGGGGUAGAGCACUGUUUCGGCUAGGGGGCCAUCCCGGCUUACCAACCCGAUGCAAACUGCGAAUACCGGAGAAUGUUAUCACGGGAGACACACGGCGGGUGCUAACGUCCGUCGUGAAGAGGGAAACAACCCAGACCGCCAGCUAAGGUCCCAAAGUCAUGGUUAAGUGGGAAACGAUGUGGGAAGGCCCAGACAGCCAGGAUGUUGGCUUAGAAGCAGCCAUCAUUUAAAGAAAGCGUAAUAGCUCACUGGUCGAGUCGGCCUGCGCGGAAGAUGUAACGGGGCUAAACCAU
rnacentral:rRNA from 1 species